GGAGAACUUAACAUCUGGGGCCACGGAAAACGCCCCAGAGAAGACCAGAGAUGCGAAAGACAAUGAAGACCGUUCACCUCCAAACUGAUGUCCCAAUCAGACUGUACCAGUUAGAGCCGAUGAACUGCAGCCUCUGAGUGGACAGAGCCAAGAGGGGCUUCCCAGGAUCUUCCACACAAGGAUGGUCGUGCCCAGAUGACCCCCAGAUGACCUGCCACAGACCAUGUUUUCUAAGAACCAUUUUGUUCACUGAUAUAAAAACAGGAAUUCAUGACGCUGUACAGAAUUUUUAUUUUUAAACUGUCUUUUAAAUAAUAUAUUCUUAUACAGAAAUGGGUCUGUAUUUUUUUUCCUUUGGGUUUUAGACUCGGGCUUCCAAGGACUCUGGUUUUCCCUUGGACGUAUCUUCGUGCAGUUGAACCAUGGGAUGUGAUAUGAGGGUCCAUGUAAAUUCCACAUUAAAUGUCAGAACGGUGCCCAAGUA
rnacentral:lncRNA from 1 species